rnacentral:rRNA from 1 species
GAAUAAGAGGUCCAGCCUGCCCUGUGACUAUAUGUUCAACGGCCGCGGUAUUUUAACCGUGCGAAGGUAGCGCAAUCACUUGUCUCUUAAAUGGGGACCUGUAUGAAUGGCAUAACGAGGGCUUAACUGUCUCCUUUUUCCAGUCAAUGAAAUUGAUCUCCCCGUGCAGAAGCGGGGAUAAGUCCAUAAGACGAGAAGACCCUGUGGAGCUUUAGACACCAAAGCAUAUCAUGCCAAGCACCCCGAAAUAAAGGACCCAAGCCAAAUGAACCCUAUGCUCCUAUGUCUUUGGUUGGGGCGACCGAGGGGAAUAAAAAACCCCCAUGUGGAAUAGGAGCACUGCUUCUCCCAAAACUAAGAGAAACACCUCUAAUGAACAGAAUUUCUGACCAAUAAUGAUCCGGCAACGCCGAUCAACGAACCAAGUUACCCCAGGGAUAACAGCGCAAUCCCCUUUUAGAGCCCAUAUCGACAAGGGGGUUUACGACCUCGAUGUUGGAUCAGGACAUCCUAAUGGCGCAAUCGCUGUUAAAGGUUCGUUUGUUCAACGAUUAAAGUCCUACGUG